GUCUAUAAAGGCCUAAAUUUUAUGGGGAAAUCCUGAUUUGUGUUCAUAGUACGGCCCCCGGAGGAUUUUAUGACCAUGGUAGGAAUUUGAAGUGGCCCCUCGAAUGAAAAAGGUUCCCCACCCCUGCAUUAAACCUUUCUACUAGCCACAGCUUUGCUGUCAGUACAUUUUAUUAUGAUACUAUAAGCUCAGAAAUUAAGUUGAUCAAACAAUUCGAUCUGUGCUAUAAACAUUUAAAUGAACCUACAGAAUAGGCUAUCAAAAUAGAAUCAUCUGAAUGAUCUUUCUUGGACAUACAUUUUGAAGUGACCCUUCGAAUUAAAAAGGUUCCUCAGCUGCUUUUGAGGAAAAACAUCAAUGUGCUUGGCCACUCUGGUUUUUAAAUGGUAUUCUGAACUAAAGCAAGGAUUGUUCAAGUUAGUUGAAAAUAGACCGUCUCUGGUUAAAUUAGUUCUACACCAAGCCUUUAGGUGGCAGUAAAACGAAUUGGCACAAUGCGAAUUCCACACACAAGCCACAAAGAAGCCAUCAGCCGCGGUCAACAACACCUUCCUGAUUGAACAGAACCACGCGUUGUCUGUGUGGUUUACAAGUUUCUUGGCGAUAUGGGGGGAAAGUUCCUCACAUACCAACGGAAAAUGGGCUUCAUAUACAUGCUGCUGUCUCAUAAUAUGGCGAAGACGAGUCACCUGAAGGCCUAACUCGCCAUAGAAGACUGAAAGAAUUGUCCUGCAGGAUGCUGUGUCCUGCAAUCCUGUGUGCUGUGCUACAGACGCGUGUGGAGGUCAACCCUAAAUGGGCACAGUCUCACCACAGAAGAGUGAAAGAGGAUCCUGGCAGGGAGACGGUAGUGUCCUGCAGAAUGGUGAUGGGCCAAUCUUACAAGAGACCACAGAAAACUGAUAUAGUGAACUAUAGAAACAACAGUGCCUGCUGCAGUAUAACGAGGACACCCUGAGCAGAGAGCUCCAAUAGACCCAGGUCCAGUGUCUUGGCAGGGUGAAAUGGCACUGAUAUGGUGUCCUGCAGGAUGCUGUGUCCUGCAAUCCUGUGUGCUGUGCUACAGACGCGUGUGGAGGUCAACCCAGAAUGGGCACAGUCUCACCACAGAAGAGUGAAAGAGGCUCCCAGAAGUGAGACUGAGUGCCUGUUGCAGUAUGACGAGGACGCAGUGACCAGAGACCUUCAGUAGACCCUGCUGGCAUGAUUGGCGUCUGAAGAAUAUGAAAUCAACAGCAAUGUUUAUAAUGUUGUACAUACCUGUAUAGUCUGUAUUAAAAGGCAGUACCUGUA